rnacentral:lncRNA from 1 species
GGAUAGUUGUGGGGGAGACUGUGGAGGAGGGAACGCAGGGAUCCCCUCCCCCUGCGGGAGGCGCAGCCAGCACAGGGCAGCCUUCUCUGCGUCUCCGUGGCCAGGAAAGCUUCCUUCCCGUGUGAAGUGUGCCUGCAGUUAGUUGAUUAUGGCCCAGAGAGGGUUUGAAUGAAUCGUAGAGAAACACAGGAACAUAGGAACACGGACCAGCCUCAGGGUUUCGGUGACCCACGGUUCCUUAAGGCAGCUGCACUGUAAUGUACUCUGCUUCCCUCUCCAAAUGCUCAGAAAAACGAGUUUCAUCUUCAUACUUAACCCUUUUACAUUAUUAAAGUAAUAUUUUAAAACUAUAAUAGUAACUCCUCAUGGUUGUGCAUCACUUGGAGUUUUUAACAGCUGUGUUUUUAGUGGAGAAGCGAAGUGUGGAAAUUGUGUGCAGUGUAGACACAAGAAGUAAGAAGAGAACAUACUGUCCUAUUGCCAUCCACAUGUGUGAAGCCUGUUUGUGGGGGGCAGCUGCUGACAGUGGCCCCCUUUGCUGAGGGCUGGGUUUGGGGCUGGGAAAUUGGAUGAGGCGGUUUUCACCACGUGUCCUUUGAUCCUUUCUGAAGGAUGAAUGAUAUGAAGGCAUUACUAUUCAAAAAACAUGUUUUAAGGCGGCUUCAGAGUAUUUUCCUGUGUCUUCAGGAGUGACGAAAAGAGGCCACUGCCACCCUCGUUUUACAAAGGCAAACAACAGGUGGGACUUGGCCAUGGGCUCCUCUCUGCUGGGUCGGGGCUCCCCCUACAAGGCUUUUUGCCUCUGAUUUCAUCUACAUCUGAAGACCUAUCUGUCUUGGGAGCCACUCAAACUUCUCAGAGGCAAGCCCAGCUUCACGAGGAGCCUGCUGAAUGAUGACAUUCACUGGGACCACAAAAUGCAGAGCCACGUCUCAGGUGGAAGGGUUGGAAGAAAUUCAGUGUGAAAGUCUGGUCUCCCUGCACCGCCCCCCGCCCCCCCAGGACAGACUUGAAAGCCGGUGUACCUCGGGAUCGUGCUGUGAGGACACCGGGCUAACCCCUGUGUUUGCACUGCUACUCACUCCAACGAUUUUUAUGAAGUGCCAGCUAUGCCAUAGGCGGGGUUCUGGAUGCUGAGAACACAGCAAUUUUCCUGCCUUCAGUACAAUUUAGGGGAGAUGAGAACAGAGACGCCAAAGAACACCUACCAUCAGACAGACACAGAGGAUGCCCCUCCCUGGGCUCUCACUCACCCUCAGGAAGCAGGUGGCAUUGUACUCAGUUCACAGAUGCAGACACGGAGGCCAGGAGAUAUUACUAAGUGCAUCUGAAGUCACAUGGGCAACACCUUUGAACUGGACUUCAUUUUGGGAUAAAUCCAGAUCUGACUCUGAAGCCAAAGUUCUUAACCAGGCUGCACCAGGGCCACUGUCAAAGGAAAUAGACUUUCAUUUGUAGUCUAUUUCCCCCUGUCCCUCUUUUCCCCCCAUCUUCCCAUGAGACACGGUCAAGGGUGACAGAAUGGGGUCUGAGGGCUGGGGUGGGGGUAGAACCCUGGGGUCACUUCCUGAGGCCACCCGGCCAUGCUCCUGCCCGUCCUGUCCCAGGAGGCCAGUCCUUCCCCCGCUUCAGUCCCAUUCUGAACGAGAUGGUCACACAGAAGUAAGUCACCGAGUCAGUAAAAUGUCCUCUCUGACACCAACACUGCUUUGGUGUGUUUUUUCCCUCCUCUUGUACUAACAAACGUGUUCAUGUAAAGACAAAAAAGAAAACCAAGCGAUCUGUCACAGUCACACCUUCUCUCCUGGCCUCCAUAAUGAAUGGUAGUGCUUAGAGUUAAUCAAUCA